GUCGCCAUCGUAUAACGGUAGUACGAGAGUCUCAUGAGCUUUAGACCCGGGUUCAACUCCCGGUGGCGACA
rnacentral:tRNA from 1 species